GACGAACGCUGGCGGCGUGCUUAACACAUGCAAGUCGAACGGAAAGGCCCUGCUUUUGUGGGGUGCUCGAGUGGCGAACGGGUGAGUAACACGUGAGUAACCUGCCCUUGACUUUGGGAUAACUUCAGGAAACUGGGGCUAAUACCGGAUAGGAGCUCCUGCUGCAUGGUGGGGGUUGGAAAGUUUCGGCGGUUGGGGAUGGACUCGCGGCUUAUCAGCUUGUUGGUGGGGUAGUGGCUUACCAAGGCUUUGACGGGUAGCCGGCCUGAGAGGGUGACCGGCCACACUGGGACUGAGAUGAGGCCCAGACUCCGACGGGAGGCAGCAGUGGGGAAUAUUGCACAAUGGGCGGAAGCCUGAUGCAGCAACGCCGCGUGCGGGAUAACGGCCUUCGGGUUGUAAACCGCUUUCGCCUGUGACGAAGCGUGAGUGACGGUAAUGGGUAAAGAAGCACCGGCUAACUACGUG
rnacentral:rRNA from 1 species